AAGCGCUUGCAGCCAGACUUGCCUGCCGUUGCUCAUCCGGGCUUUUGCCCGGUGCAUUCUUCGGUAGUCAGGCCAGCAUCAGUUUGGGCGGUGGGAUAAAGGUCUCUGUCACGUACCUCCUCUCGGGGAGGCCUUAUAGGGGAGACGUCAUGCCACCAGCCUGGACUGAGGUCCGCGCAUCUGCUAGGAUGCUGGCGUAAUGGCUGUAAGCGG
rnacentral:rRNA from 1 species